CACUUUCAACACCGUAUCACAGAAAACUGUGUAGGAAUGCAACCAAUUGGAGAACUGAAGGAUUUUCAAGUGAACUGGGAAAUUGUACUCUGGUUCUACUCUGAGAGUCCUUUUUGAUACAUUCCCAACCUGACACCAACACUGGACACAGACCCUCUGCUUCAACUAUAACCCGGUGAAAAGGACAAGGAGCUGGAAAUAAUGCAAAAUGACACCACUACAGUAUUCAGCCUCAUGAAAGGGCCUCUAAAACCAACAUGUCUCAGAGUGAUGUCACAUCAUUUGACAAGAUAAGUGCAUUCUCUUCUGCAUCCAGUGAUGUUUCCCUGAAAAGUGACUGGUCCAAAGGUGAUGGUCCCAGCUUCAAUGAUGUCGUAAAACCAGGGUAAGACAUGUUGGUUAUUUCAGUGCACAUACAAAGAGAUUCUGGAAAAAAAAUCUUUCAGUGCAUGCUUGAAGCCAGAAAAUAAUGUUAAUCUUCUAGGGACAGAGCAUUCUCUUCUGCAUCCAGUGAUGUUUCCCUCAAAAGUGACUGGUCCAAAGGUGAUGGUCCCAGCUUCAAUGAUGUCGUAAAACCAGGGUAAGACAUGUUGGUUAUUUUGGUACUCACGUACAGAGAGAUUGUGAAAAAAAAUAAUAUUUCAGCUCUUGCUUGAAGCUAGAAAAGAAUGUUAAUCUUCUAGGGACAGAGCAUUCUCUUCUGCAUCCAGUGAUGUUUCCCUGAAAAGUGACUGGUCCAAAGGUGAUGGUCCCAGCUUCAGUG